AUUGAACGCUGGCGGCAGGCCUAACACAUGCAAGUCGAGCGGAUGAAGGGAGCUUGCUCCUGGAUUCAGCGGCGGACGGGUGAGUAAUGCCUAGGAAUCUUCCUGGUAGUGUGGGAUAACGUCCGGAAACGGGCGCUAAUACCGCAUACGUCCUGAGGGCUAAAGUGGGGGAUCUUCGGACCUCACGCUAUCAGAUGAGCCUAGGUCUGAUUAGCUAGUUGGUGGGGUAAAGGCCUACCAAGGCGACGAUCCGUAACUGGUCUGAGAGGAUGAUCAGUCACACGGGAACUGAGACACGGUCCAGACUCAUACGGGAGGCAGGAGUGGGGAAUAUUGGAAAAUGGGCGAAAGCGUGAUACAGACAUGCCGCGUGUGUGAAGAAGGUCUGCGGAUUGUAAAGCACUUUAAGUUGGGAGGAAGGGCAGUAAGUUAAAACCUGGAUGUUUGGACGUAACCAAAAAAAUAAGCACCGGCUAACUUCGU
rnacentral:rRNA from 1 species